UACUUUCAGCCACCUUGUCUCCUUAUUAGA
rnacentral:piRNA from 1 species